rnacentral:lncRNA from 1 species
AUUGAUUGGGCCUCAGAUAAACUAAAAAUAAAAUGCAAAUCCCUAUGCUCUUCUGAGGUUGUCUGUCUCAGGACUAAAUUUAAAGAUUUAAAGGAGUUUUUCCCUUGGGAAGGGUAGGCAUGGAGGGGCUAUGUAGCAGAAAAGAUGUCAGUUCUCCGUUUUUUUCCCAAGGACUUUCACAGGAAACUGGUGGAGACACAGCCUAGGUUUACACAGUCUUAGAUUAAUUCCACAGCCUGAAUAAUCUGGAGGAAAAGGUGAACUAGAUCAGAGAAAGUCCUAACACUCUAAGAGGAAAUGCAUGGAAUCUAUGCAAGCAAGCACAGAAAAAUAAGCUUUACAUCCAAAUAAACAAGGAAAAAUUUUGAAGGGUAAAACGACAAAUUCAAUCAACUGCACAGUGGCUUCAUGAAGGACAAGCAUGUGUCUUCCAAGGAGGUCUGGUCCUCUUCACCCUAGAUUCCAUGAAGCAUUCAGAUUAUGAGCAGCUCUUUUGGAAGAUAGGAGGAAAGAAUGGAUAUAAAAUCAUUUCAGAAAUUUCUAGCUUUCUGAAAGAAAUUUUACUUUUAAAGAAAAAUAGCCUAAUAGAAACCACAUGGGAAUGAGCACAUCCAGUACUAUGGAGAAAAAGUGACCGUGGCUGUCCACACAUAUAGCGUGUUCUGGAUCCAAUUCCUCUUAAUUCCUUCUUGGUAACACUAAUGCUGGUAAACGAGCAUGCUUGAUGGAAUGCCAAGAGUAAUGAUGACAUUGAGCUGUCACCGUGUGCCAGACAUUGAACUGUUUCAUCCAGAUCAUCUCAAUCACUCCUUACAACAAGCCUUUUGAGAUCUUCAACUGUCACCCCUAGUCUACUGAAUCCAUAUUUUGCCAUAAUUUUGGCUACUCUCAUGUUGGCCCUGAUCAUCAUUGGAGUCCCAGGAAUUUCAAACUCUGCUUCAAGAGAAAUGUGGACACCUUGGGGAAAAUUAACAGACUUUCAUGGUCAUAGAGCAUCUACUCCUUUCAGAAUGCCAGCAAAUGCACACAAGAGCUCCCAAACACUUCUUACAAUCAGGGGCAAGAUGCCCUUCCAUGCACCAAAAACCAAGGUGGAAAAGCUCCUGCCAACCUGAGCAGCACAAGGCAGAGGGGAGGCAGCGGCUGACCUCCUGGGCAACCUGCAAUGACAACCUGACAGCAGACCGGCUGGACUCUCCAGACUGCCGCCAGAUAUGUCACGGGAUGCUUCUCAGGCUCAAGAAUUUAAUAUUCUUUACAGAAAAUAAAGAGUUGGAUUCUGA